GACGUAGGGUGCAAGCGUUGUCCGGAAUUAUUGGGCGUAAAGAGCUCGUAGGCGGUUCGUCGCGUCGGCUGUGAAAACCUGAGGCUCAACCUCAGGCCUGCAGUCGAUACGGGCGGACUUGAGUACUGCAGGGGAGACUGGAAUUCCUGGUGUAGCGGUGAAAUGCGCAGAUAUCAGGAGGAACACCGGUGGCGAAGGCGGGUCUCUGGGCAGUAACUGACGCUGAGGAGCGAAAGCGUGGGGAGCGAACAGG
rnacentral:rRNA from 1 species